UGCAGAAUUCCGUGAACCAUCGAGUUUUUGAACGCAAGUUGCGCCCGAAGCCAUUCGGCCGAGGGCACGCCUGCCUGGGCGUCACGC
rnacentral:rRNA from 1 species